rnacentral:rRNA from 1 species
GCUGGCGGCGUGCUUAACACAUGCAAGUCGAACGGAAAGGCCCUGCUUUUGUGGGGUGCUCGAGUGGCGAACGGGUGAGUAACACGUGAGUAACCUGCCCUUGACUUUGGGAUAACUUCAGGAAACUGGGGCUAAUACCGGAUAGGAGCUCCUGCUGCAUGGUGGGGGUUGGAAAGUUUCGGCGGUUGGGGAUGGACUCGCGGCUUAUCAGCUUGUUGGUGGGGUAGUGGCUUACCAAGGCUUUGACGGGUAGCCGGCCUGAGAGGGUGACCGGCCACAUUGGGACUGAGAUACGGCCCAGACUCCUACGGGAGGCAGCAGUGGGGAAUGUUGCACAAUGGGCGGAAGCCUGAUGCAGCAACGCCGCGUGCGGGAUGACGGCCUUCGGGUUGUAAACCGCUUUCGCCUGUGACGAAGCGUGAGUGACGGUAAUGGGUAAAGAAGCACCGGCUAACUACGUGCCAGCAGCCGCGGUGAUACGUAGGGUGCGAGCGUUGUCCGGAUUUAUUGGGCGUAAAGGGCUCGUAGGUGGUUGAUCGCGUCGGAAGUGUAAUCUUGGGGCUUAACCCUGAGCGUGCUUUCGAUACGGGUUUGACUUGAGGAAAGGUAGGGGAGAAUGGAAUUCCUGGUGGAGCGGUGGAAUGCGCAGAUAUCAGGAGGAACACCAGUGGCGAAGGCGGUUCUCUGGGCCUUUCCUGACGCUGAGGAGCGAAAGCGUGGGGAGCGAACAGGCUUAGAUACCCUGGUAGUCCACGCUGUAAACGGUGGGUACUAGGUGUGGGGUCCAUUCCACGGGUUCCGUGCCGUAGCUAACGCUUUAAGUACCCCGCCUGGGGAGUACGGCCGCAAGGCUAAAACUCAAAGGAAUUGACGGGGCCCCGCACAAGCGGCGGAGCAUGCGGAUUAAUUCGAUGCAACGCGUAGAACCUUACCUGGGUUUGACAUGGAUCGGGAGUGCUCAGAGAUGGGUGUGCCUCUUUUGGGGUCGGUUCACAGGUGGUGCAUGGCUGUCGUCAGCUCGUGUCGUGAGAUGUUGGGUUAAGUCCCGCAACGAGCGCAACCCUUGUUCACUGUUGCCAGCACGUUAUGGUGGGGACUCAGUGGAGACCGCCGGGGUCAACUCGGAGGAAGGUGGGGAUGACGUCAAGUCAUCAUGCCCCUUAUGUCCAGGGCUUCACGCAUGCUACAAUGGCUGGUACAGAGAGUGGCGAGCCUGUGAGGGUGAGCGAAUCUCGGAAAGCCGGUCUCAGUUCGGAUUGGGGUCUGCAACUCGACCUCAUGAAGUCGGAGUCGCUAGUAAUCGCAGAUCAGCAACGCUGCGGUGAAUACGUUCCCGGGGCUUGUACACACCGCCCGUCAAGUCAUGGAAGUUGGUAACACCCGAAGCCGGUGGCCUAACCGUUGUGGGGGAGCCGUCGAAGGUGGGACUGGUGAU